UGCGUAGGCGGGAGAUUAAGUCAGUGGUGAAAUCCUACAGCUUAACUGUAGAACUGCCAUUGAUACUGGUUUUCUUGAGUAUAGUUGAAGUGGGCGGAAUGUGUAUUGUAGCGGUGAAAUGCUUAGAUAUUACACAGAACACCUAUUGCGAAGGCAGCUCACUAAACUAAUACUGACGCUGAGGCACGAAAGCGUGGGGAGCAAACAGGAUUAGAUACCCUGGUAGUC
rnacentral:rRNA from 1 species